rnacentral:rRNA from 1 species
CAGUCGCCGCGGGAAUACGGAGGGUGCAAGCGUUAUCCGGAUUUAUUGGGUUUAAAGGGUCCGUAGGCGGAUCUGUAAGUCAGUGGUGAAAUCUAACAGCUUAACUGUGAAACUGCCAUUGAUACUGCAGGUCUUGAGUAAAUUUGAAGUGGCUGGAAUAAGUAGUGUAGCGGUGAAAUGCAUAGAUAUUACUUAGAACACCAAUUGCGAAGGCAGGUCACUAAGAUUUAACUGACGCUGAUGGACGAAAGCGUGGGGAGCGAACAGGAUUAGAUACCCGUGUAGUCCCUGUCUCUUAUAA